rnacentral:rRNA from 1 species
GAGGAAAAGAAACUAACAAGGAUUCCCCUAGUAACUGCGAGUGAAGCGGGAAAAGCUCAAAUUUAAAAUCUGGUAGUCUUUGGCUGCCCGAGUUGUAAUCUAGAGAAGCAUUAUCCGUGCUGGACCGUGUAUAAGUCUCCUGGAAUGGGGCGUCAUAGAGGGUGAGAAUCCCGUCUUUGACACGGACUUCUGGUGCUUUGUGAUGUGCUCUCAAAGAGUCGAGUUGUUUGGGAAUGCAGCUCUAAAUGGGUGGUAAAUUCCAUCUAAAGCUAAAUAUUGGCGAGAGACCGAUAGCGAACAAGUACCGUGAGGGAAAGAUGAAAAGAACUUUGGAAAGAGAGUUAAACAGUACGUGAAAUUGUUGAAAGGGAAACGCUUGAAGUCAGUCAUAUUGNNCAGGGAUCAACCUUGCUUUUUGCUNGGUGUANUUCCUGUUCAAUAGGUCAGCAUCAAUUUUGACCAGUGGAAAAAGGCAGAGGGAAUGUGGCAUCUUCGGAUGUGUUAUAGCNUUCUGUCAUAUACAUUGGUUGGGAUUGAGGAACUCAGCACGCCGCAAGGCCGGGUUUUAACCACGUUC